rnacentral:lncRNA from 1 species
CAUUCUUUGAGUUGGGUACUGUUGAUGAAUAUUUCUUCUCAUAUUGUGUGGAAAAGGUAGCAACGUAUGAACUUUUAGAAGUCAUGCAGAUUGUUCGUGGUGAGGUUGAGUUUAGAACCCAGGUAGGCUGACUUCCAGCCCCAGAUUCUGAAACUUGAAGAGAGACAGCACAGCACAGGAGAGGGACUGAGAUGUGGGAGGAGUCCCUGUGCCUGCCCCAGCAGGGCCCCGCUCCCAGCUGGGGCCCAGGGAGCCUGCUCAUGAAAGAGAUUCCAGAGUCCAAACUCAGCAGCAUCUGGCAAAUUUCUUCAAAAUUCACCAAGCGACGCCUCCCCUCCCAUCUGCCUGCCUCCUGCUUGACCUCCCAUCUUUGUUCUACCAGCCCUUUAUUCUGUUUGUGUUCAGCCCUCAGCUUUGCUCUCCUGCCUUGAAAUAUCUGAAGACCUAGUUGUCCUGGAUAACCUCUUCAUCCUUUGCUUUUGUAGCUAGCUCUCUCUUCUUCCUUUGGAGUAGCCAGGUAGUUGCCAGCUGUGGACUUCACGUCGCUCCCCUCGCCCCCGCCAUCUUCUUAUUCUCUCACCCACCAGGAGCAUGCGCUCACACAGGGUAGGAUACUUGGUAACGAACUCCUCCACAGAAAGUCUGAAUGCUCAGCACCAAGUAUUGGACCAGAUGAAAAUUCCAGAAAGUGUAGAUAUUUAACCUUGACCCAAUUAAAUAAAAUUACCCUUCAGUUUGCUUCUGUCUCCCUGUUUGCUGCAGCACAUUCGCCAAAGAGGCAAAGACUUUGGAUUAUGCAUAGUGUUAACAGGAAAAAUAGUGCAUGUUGCCUGGUACCCAGAGAGCUGAGCUCAGAGGGGCAGGUGUGCCCAUUCUCACCUGAAGAACUGCUUCAGACCUGGGCAACUGAACAGGCACACCCAGAAGGCUCCCCUCCUCCCUCCUACUCUGAACUCGCAAAGCAAGAUGCUGCUUUGAUCUUGGACCCUCCACAGAAAGUCUCCCUUGGCAAGCCUAGCCGUGACAGCUGGGCUCCACCGUGGCAACUCUCCGUAGACAACGCUGACAAAGAUUUAAAUGCCAAGUCCUCCGGAGAAGACUUGAUGAGGGAAACCAGGUGUGUGCCGAGAAUCCGGCUGGAGAGAGUUGAAACCAUGCCAGGAUACAGAUUUUUCUUCUUACAUGUGAUGGAGGCAGAGCAUGCUGUAGGAAAAAUGCUUGUAGAAACAUAGCUUGGAGAAUAAAAGACUCAAGGAAGACAUGUGAACUUCAAUAUCCAAAGGCUCAUCACGUAGAAGAGAAGAAUGCUUCUGUCUGUGACUCCAAGAAAUUAAGGAAGAUCCAAUUCCAGAGGAAAGGAAAACCAUUGUGGUUGUCAUAAAUGGAAUGUGCUAUCUUGGGGUGACCCCUUGGCAAUAAACGUUAGAAACUGGAUUCAAACAAAG